UAUAGCCGACUCACACGGGAAUUUCAACCACAAACAACACAAAAUAGCACUUAUUGGAAAAGCAUAUGCGGAACAGACACCGUAAACCCACAUAAUCGGAACACACCACAUCACAGUAUUAUAAAAGAAAAACUAACUAUUUAUAAUACUUGUAUGCAUAAUCCAGAAUUUAAUAUCAACAUAACAUAGCCGACUCACACUGGAAUUGCAACCACAACAACACAAAAUAGCACUUAUUGGAAAAGCAUAUCCGGAACAGACACCAUAAACUCACAUAAUCGGUACAGUGCGAUCAAUAAUCAAAUUGAGUUAACCAGUAAAUCAAAGAACACAAAAUAGACGUGACUGCAACAAAAUUGGUAAGAAACCGAAUACGCAUUCUAUAAUAGUUCACACAACACCCAGGGAAAUUUAACUCAGAAAAUUACGAGCUGGAUUGUUACUGGCGGAAGCUUGACUUCGUCGGAGAUGGUUACCGACGGAAAUGGAGAUGCUCGCCGGUAACGACGGAGGUUGGAGGCGGAGGUUGGGGAGAUUACCGGGAGACGCGGCAGAAUGGGUGGUUCGCUGUCGAGCGAAGGGUGUCGUUGGAGUUCGUGGUGGGUGGUUGUUCGCGAGGCGGUGAAGUGAAGUGAAAUGAGGGUGAAUCGCCGGUAGAUGGAGAUUAUUGUGGUGGUCGCCGGCGAGAGGAGAAAACAACGGUUGAAGGUUAGUGGAGAAGGUGGAUGGUGGUGAAGCUUUUUGUGGCUUUCGUGGAGGAAGAUGAGAAGAAGCUUUUCUUUUUCUCUUUUUCGUUUUCUGUUUUUUAGAGUGUCUUUUUGGUUUUGUGAGUGGAGAGAGAAGAGAUGAUUCCCAGCAGAGAAAAAAAUAGAGUUGUGUGUGUGUGUCCU
rnacentral:lncRNA from 1 species